GUCAAGACUAGAAUCACGCUUGGGAACCACCUGUUGCCUUAGUGUGUGCGAGUCCUCAAAGAAUAACUGCUGAGCUUAUUCACUGGCCGUGACCUUGUUGGCAUAGUAAGUCACCAGGUUAGUGGCAUGU